UUAUUAUUUAUUGAUAACAUAUAUAUUUCUUCUCUUGAUUAAUCAUUUCUGUAUAUAGUUGUGUAUAAUAAAGAAACCCAUUUGUUUAUUGGACUUGAAGUAAAUUCUUGGGCAGUGAGGUCUAGGGGGGCACCUCUCCAAGGUACACCCUCGGUGCCAGUAGCCCUGGGAACCCUGAGGAUCCAGAAUCCGGCACGUUGCCCAGCCUAGCAUGCCGGCGAGGGGUAUGUAAGUUUAAGAUAAUACUCAGGAUAAUUUCUCUCAUUUUUUCUAACCAGACUGUACAUAAAUCAUGCUGAUUCUUUCCAAAUAACAUAUCUACACACUCUUUCCUCUCUAACCAUUCAAAACCUUCAUCCAGUCUCAUCAUCUUGUGCCUCAGUUAUUGUAACACCCUCUCUGGCCUUGUCAAAUACAGCCUUGCCCUGCUACUACUCAUCCAGAAUACCCUGCAAAGUGUCUAUCACGCUGAGCCAUCAUUCCUUUCUCAGCCUCCCCUGACUCCCCGCUUUUAUUAAAUCAAACAAAAGCUAUUUGUUUUUGCCUUUUGAGCCUCUUCACAGCCUAUCCUAACCUACCUGUUACUGAGAUGCUGUCUCCUAUCUGCAGUAGGCAAUGAGCCAGCCUCCAUUGUUCACCCACUACAUUUUCCAACACUGUGCUUUCUUCCACUUUUCCUGUCAUGUUCAGUGGAAUUCAGCGUAAAUGUCUGCAAAGCUAUAUCCUUAUCCUCCCUCAGAACUCCUUUUAAGCUCUCCAUUCCUGUGGCAUCUACAAAAGAUGCAAUUACACUUAGGCAGUUGGUGUGCUGAGACUGCUAUUUUCAUGGUCUAUCAUGCUGACAAACAUCCUCUCAAUCUUUCCUUGCACUCCUCCUAUCUGUAUCCCUUUGUCAUGUCUUAUCUUAGAGCUGGGCAGUAAGCUAUUGGAGGCAGGGACGAUCUGUGUGUUCUGCAUGUGUACAGUACUUCGCACCACGGAGACCUGGCCUACAACUAAUGUUCCUACCACUGCACUAUAGGAAUGGGGAACUAAAAAAGUCAGAUACCCCAAAACCAAUGAUCCACAUUCCUACAUCCACUCUUGACUUCCAGUUAUGCAAAAUUAAGUCACCCUUUCAUGUUUCAUGACCAGAAUAUUUGGCAUUUAAGAAACCUAGUUUCUGUCCAAUUUAUGUUCCAUCCUCAUGACUAAGCACCAAAUCGAACAUGAGAGAGAUGAAUACUGCUUGUUCACAAAUAAGCGCAAUAAAAAUGCAGAGCCACUAACUCCAGUGGGAAGUGUGCCUUUUACCUCUCCUCCCACCUUCAAAUUCUGCCUGCACUCUUCAGAUAAAAGCUUGACUGAACUAUCCUUUUCAGGAUUUAUUUGUAAAUUUAUUCAGGAAAUAAAGACAAUACAAGUUGUUUACAUAGCUAUUAUUACCUUGUGAGUCACCAUUAUUUCAUGUUGCAUUUUGAACCAAAUUCUGAGUAAGCUAAUCAAUCAAAGGUGAUAGAAUUUUCAGCAAAGUAGGUCCCAUCAUAAUCUGCAUGGGUUUUGAAAUGCAAUCUUGUUGCAAAACUGAAUCCAUUCCUCUUGAACUGUCAACAAACAU